ensembl:lincRNA
CAGAAAAAAAUUAUGAGACUUUGGCCUUGGAAGUCUCAUAGUGAGUGCCUGUCAUGUUAUAACAGGGCAAAAACUGGCUGCUCUCCUCUACAUUCGGUGGCCUUGGGAACACCAAAGAUGUGGCCUUGGCAACACUUGCACAUCGAGGUCAAGAGGCCAGGAAGAGCAUCCUGCCUUCUAAAUCCUUUGAAGUUUACUCGAAAUUCUCAUCCUGAACUGGACUUUUGGACUCAACAACAAAAGAUGCAUAUUAUGAAGAACAAAUAA